rnacentral:rRNA from 1 species
AUGCUGUCCGCCGGCCGCCGCCGUCUCUGCCUCUUCCCCUUCCCCUUCCCUCUCCGCCACUUCACUGCGGCCGUUUCCACCACCACCACCACCACCUCCGACGCUGCCGCUGCCGACCCCACUGUGUUCUACCUCGAAUCCACCUGCGCGCUCUCCCCCGCCGCCGCCGCCCGCGCUGCGGACUCCAUCCGCCUCGCCUCCCUGGAGUCCACCGCGCAGGCCGACGCCGUCCUCGACCUCCUCCGCCGGUAUGGCUUCACCGACGCCGAGAUAUCCACCACCGUCCGCAAGUUCCCCAUCGUCCUGGUCUCCGACCCCGUCAAGACACUCCAGCCCAAGCUCGACUUCCUCGCCUCCGUCGGCAUCAACGCGCCGCUCCUCCCCAGGCUCGUCUCCCUCAGCCCCGUUGUCCUCCACCGGAGCAUCCAGGACCACCUCGCCCCGCUCUUCGAAUCUCUCCGCGAGCUCCUCGGCUCCAAUGCCCGCGUCGUCACCGCGCUCCGCCAGAUGCCGUUCGUUGUCCGCUGCAGCCCCAACAGUACCCUCAACCUCGUGCUCCCCGCACUAAGAGAUGUCCACGGCUUGCCCCCGGAGGACGUCUCCAAGCUCGUCGCCGUCCACCCUGGCGUCAUCAUGCAGGGCCCCCACCGCUUGGCCGAGAUCGUCCGGGCCGUCAAGGACGUCGGCAUGGAACCCGGUGAGCCCAUGUUCGUCAACACAUUUGCCAUCAUUUCCAAGAUGAAGACCCCCACACUGGAGAGGAAGUAUGCACUCUACCAGAGCCUUGGCUUCGAGAAGGACAAUGUUGCCUUAAUGUUGCGGCGGUGCCCACUCAUGAUGGCUAUCUCAGAGAAGAAGAUGAAGGAAAAUGUCGGAUUCUUGGUCGGAAAGGCGGGUCUGAGCCUGGAAGAUAUCGUGGCCAAUCCGAGCAUGCUGGUGCGGAGCUUGGAGAGCCAUCGCAGGAGGUGUGCGGUGCUCACACUGCUGAGGAAGGAAGGGAAGCCAGAGGGGAAUCAUCAGCUGCGCAAGGUCCUCGUGGCUAAAAUGAAACGGUUCUUGCAGGUGUAUGUGCAGCCACACCAAAACGAGAUCCCUGAUGUCGUCCGGGCUCUCAACGGAGAGAUCCCUUUCGAGGGCUUCAGUGUGUUGGAAUAG